UGUGUUUUCUUUUACCAGGAACAUUCUUUGGUUGGAUGAAUCCCCUUAUGCAGCGUGCAUAUCAAAGACCAAUAACAGAGAAGGAAGUGUGGAAGUUAGAUACUUGGGAUAGAACAGAAACACUGAAUGCUAAGUUCCAAGAAUGUUGGGUUAAAGAAUCUCAUAAGCCAAAGCCAUGGCUGUUAAAAGCAUUAAACAGUAGCCUUGGAGGAAGGUUUUGGUGGGGAGGCUUUUGGAAGGUAUUGAAUUUAUUUAUUUA